rnacentral:rRNA from 1 species
AGGACGAACGCUGGCGGCGUGCUUAACACAUGCAAGUCGAGCGGAAAGGCCCUUCGGGGUACUCGAGCGGCGAACGGGUGAGUAACACGUGAGUAACCUGCCCUCCACUCUGGGAUAAGCCCGGGAAACUGGGUCUAAUACCGGAUAUGACUUCCCGUCUCAUGGCGGGGGGUGGAAAGUUUUUUCGGUGGGGGAUGGACUCGCGGCCUAUCAGCUUGUUGGUGAGGUAAUGGCUUACCAAGGCGACGACGGGUAG